UUGAAGGUAGCGAAGGGGCCAGGCUGGGGGCCAAGCCUGGACCCAGCACACAAAUAUCAUCUUAUUGCUGGAGAAAAAUCCCCAUCGCUCACUUUGAUGAACUCCUGCUGCUAAACGUUUGUAGCAUUUAACAGUGGCGAACUUCCUCCAUCCUGUUCCGACUAAACAUCUCCUUUAAUAUUGAUUUUGAUACUGUCUGUGGAAAUUUACUCAACAGUUACUAUGAAGAACCAAAAAACAAGAUGGUAGGCAAGCAGACAACUCAACACUGCACGUCUCCAGACUCCCAGCAAAAAGAUGAACAUCACCGGUGAACGCAAUUCAACAGACAUGCCAAUCUACUGUGGCCAGCACCGAGUGCCACAGAGAUUGGUAUGGCCAAAGAACCUUGAAAGCCACCAUAGUGUCCAUCCUUUCAACCUGAAGAAGACCAUUUUCGGUGUAAGGUUUUGACCAAGGAGGAAUCGGGUAACUCAGCAUUAAUGGUAUAAUGGUGUACCUUUGGCAUUUUUGCCACGUACAUCAGUUAUUCACCAUCUACAUAUGUACACUUUUAGGAAAGGUAGCAUCCUGUUUUAAAGAUGAAUCCAUCAUCAGCACUCUUUGUCUGGCAAUGAAGUCUGGUCAUUAUGAUGAAAACUGAAAUCUUUGAGAGAGAGUAGCCCCAUUCUUAGACUAGUGGCCUGUGCGAAAAAAAAAAGCCUUUAGCUGUAAGUUUUACAUUAUUGAGACUACAAGCUGUAGAAAUAGACUUGCUCCCCUCCUCUUUUUCCCUGAAGUGCAGUUUUGAAUGUAAGAGCUUUUGUGUAGCCACAUUUCUGUGACCCAGAAAGCAGCUAUCAAGUUUUACAGCAUUAAAAAAAAAAAAAAAGCUAUUAGGAGUAAUAAUUAUAGUAUUAUGGACAGGCAUGUGUAAAGCUAACUAACAUUCCAUUUGCAUGGCUUAUGCUGAUGUGAAAUUAUGGAUUUUAUUACAUAGUAGUAGUAGUAGUAGUAUGCAGCUAUGUUUGGUUUUGGGCCAUGGAGAUAAAGCUCUUUUUUGGACAUAGAUGGCAAGCUUUGGAGGGAGUUGUACAGACAGGGAAUUAGAGAGAGGAGUAAUAUUUCACUACCUCAGAGAGAUGGGCACAGUCAUCACAGCACAGCCCCUCACCGAGCGAACAAGUCAUGAGAAGCAGUAUUCAGGUGUUUUUUCUACCAUUUUCAACUAACAGAUUGUCAGUCUUCAUUGUCAAACAGUUGGGAAACGUGUGUGUGAGAGAGUGCGUCUGUGUCAAGUAUAUGUGGUUCUUAUUAAUCUUAGUAAUAGUUUAAAAAAGUCUCUCAGAGGGUCUAAAUAUUUUAAGUGCUUAUGGGUUUUUUUGUUUGUUUGUUUGUUUGUUUUUCUUUUGUAGAGGGGUUUUGGAACAUUUUUAAUGUCACAUCUUACAGUCGACUGAUAACGUAUCUAAUGUCCAUUGUACCUGAUACACAAGUAAGUCUUUUUGCCUAACCCAUGGUUUCAUGCCUGGCUGGCACUGUGACAAAAACAAGAGUGCUUUUAGGAGCUGCUUGUAAAAGGACAGACCAUUUCAUUCAUUUUUGACAUGUGCAAGAUAUCCAUGCGUUAUCGGCAAAGAGUGAUAUUGACACAAGGAAGAGUAGAGAUUAUGAUCAAGGCAAACUGAGAAGAUUAGUUGUUUAUACUGCCCCCUAUUUGGUGUUUCAAGAGUAUUCCAAGUAAAACAGGUCAUAGGAGCAGAUUACCUAGUUUAUCCUUCAUAUGGGCUUUGUGCAAUAUGUCCCCCCGCCCCUCCCCACCCCCCUCUUCUUUGUCCUGUUUUGAUAUAAAUAUGUAUAUUGUAUAAAAAAGUGAGAAGUUGUUCCGAAAAAAACAACAAAAUCACCAAUGUCUUCCAUUAAAAGAUGUAUAGUCUCAUGUGCUUAUUUGCUGUAGCGGGAUCCUAGUGCCAUCGUGGCCAUGCAUGAAAGGUAGUGAUAAUUGCUUGCUCAGUAAAAUAGAUGUAGUUACAUACAGUAUAUGCUUUUUAAAAUUGUUUAAAGUAGAAGCAGUUAGAGUAGGGAAGUUAUUAGUUACAGAAUAUUACUUAGAUCAUGGAUGCAUCAUUCUUUCCUAGUUUAGUCUUGAGGAUUUUGGUAUCUGGGUACGGUCCCAAACUAAUGUAGAGGAGUUUCUUCAUGGGAAACUCCAUGUUCUGUUGGCAUCCAUUUCUUGCUUUUGUUUUUAGAAAAUGAAAGGUAUGUCUUAAAUUAGCCCCUCAUCUUCUAGUGGUUUUGUGUUUCGCCAUCAGACAGACUAUGGUGGGUUUUUUUUUUUUUUAAUGCAGUUCAGAGAGUGAAAAUGC